rnacentral:rRNA from 1 species
UUCCGGUUGAUCCUGCCGGACCUGACUGCUAUCGGAUUGAUACUAAGCCAUGCGAGUCAUUGUAGCAAUACAAGGCAGACGGCUCAGUAACGCGUAGUCAACCUAACCUAUGGACGGGAAUAACCUCGGGAAACUGAGUAUAAUGCCCGAUAGAACAUUAUGCCUGGAAUGGUUUAUGUUCCAAAUGAUUUAUCGCCAUAGGAUGGGACUGCGGCCUAUCAGUUUGUUGGUGAGGUAAUGGCCCACCAAGACUAUUACAGGUACGGGCUCUGAGAGGAGUAGCCCGGAGAUGGGUACUGAGACACGGACCCAGGCCCUAUGGGGCGCAGCAGGCGAGAAAACUUUGCAAUGUGCGAAAGCACGACAAGGUUAAUCCGAGUGGUUUCUGCUAAAGGAACCUUUUGUUAGUCUUAGAAACACUAACGAAUAAGGGGUGGGCAAGUUCUGGUGUCAGCCGCCGCGGUAAAACCAGCACCUCAAGUGGUCAGGAUGAUUAUUGGGCCUAAAGCAUCCGUAGCCGGCUCUGUAAGUUUUCGGUUAAAUCUGUACGCUCAACGUACAGGCUGCCGGGAAUACUGUAGAGCUAGGGAGUGGGAGAGGUAGACGGUACUCGGGAGGAAGGGGUAAAAUCCUUUGAUCUCUCGAUGACCACCUGUGGCGAAGGCGGUCUACCAGAACACGUCCGACGGUGAGGGAUGAAAGCU